rnacentral:rRNA from 1 species
CCUACGGGCGACAGCAGUGAGGAAUAUUGGUCAAUGGACGAAAGUCUGAACCAGCCAUGCCGCGUGCAGGAAGACGGCUCUAUGAGUUGUAAACUGCUUUUGUACGAGGGUAAACCCAGAUACGCGUAUCUUUCUGCAAGUAUCUUACGACUAAGGAUCGGCUAACUCCGUGCCAGCAGCCGCGGUAAUACGGAGGAUUCAAGCGUUAUCCGGAUUUAUUGGGUUUAAAGAGUGCGUAGGCGGUCGGAUAAGUUAGAGGUGAAAUCUCGAGGCUCAACUGCGGAAUUGCCUCUGAUACUGGUAGGCUAGAGAGUAGUUGCGGUAGGCGGAAUGUAUGGUGUAGCGGUGAAAUGCUUAGAGAUCAUACAGAACACCGAUUGCGAAGGCAGCUUACCAAGCUACGUCUGACGUUGAGGCACGAAAGCGUGGGGAGCAAACAGGAUUAGAUACCCCUGUAGUC